rnacentral:rRNA from 1 species
GGCGAACGCUGGCGGCGUGCUUAACACAUGCAAGUCGAACGGAAAGGCCCUUCGGGGUACUCGAGUGGCGAACGGGUGAGUAACACGUGGGUGAUCUGCCCUGCACUUUGGGAUAAGCCUGGGAAACUGGGUCUAAUACCGAAUAGGACCACGCGCUUCAUGGUGUGUGGUGGAAAGCUUUUGCGGUGUGGGAUGGGCCCGCGGCCUAUCAGCUUGUUGGUGGGGUAAUGGCCUACCAAGGCGACGACGGGUAGCCGGCCUGAGAGGGUGACCGGCCACACUGGGACUGAGAUACGGCCCAGACUCCUACGGGAGGCAGCAGUGGGGAAUAUUGCACAAUGGGCGCAAGCCUGAUGCAGCGACGCCGCGUGAGGGGUGACGGCCUUCGGGUUGUAAACCUCUUUCAAUAGGGACGAAGCGCAAGUGACGGUACCUAUAGAAGAAGCACCGGCCAACUACGUG